CCUACGGGAGGCAGCAGUGGGGAAUCUUGCACAAUGGGGGAAACCCUGAUGCAGCGACGCCGCUUGAGUGAAGCAGUAUUUCGGUACGUAAAGCUCUAUCAGCCGGGAAGAAAAUGACGGUACCUGACUAAGAAGCCCCGGCUAACUACGUGCCAGCAGCCGCGGUCAUACGUAGGGGGCAAGCGUUAUCCGGAUUUACUGGGUGUAAAGGGAGCGUAGACGGCAGCGCAAGUCUGGAGUGAAAUCCCAGGGCUUAACCAUGGAACUGCUUUGGAAACUGUGCAGCUGGAGUGCAGGAGAGGUAAGCGGAAUUCAUAGUGUAGCGGUGAAAUGCGUAGAUAUUAGGAGGAACACCAGUGGCGAAGGCGGCUUACUGGACUGUAACUGACGUUGAGGCUCGAAAGCGUGGGGAGCAAACAGGAUUAGAUACCCGAGUAGUC
rnacentral:rRNA from 1 species